rnacentral:rRNA from 1 species
AUUGAACGCUGGCGGCAGGCCUAACACAUGCAAGUCGAGCGAGCGGCGGACGGGUGAGUAAUGUAUGGGGAUCUGCCUGAUGGAGGGGGAUAACUACUGGAAACGGUGGCUAAUACCGCAUACUAUCGGAUGAACCCAUAUGGGAUUAGCUAGUAGGUGGGGUAAAGGCUCACCUAGGCGACGAUCCCUAGCUGGUCUGAGAGGAUGAUCAGCCACACUGGGACUGAGACACGGUCCAGACUCCUACGGGAGGCAGCAGUGGGGAAUAUUGCACAAUGGGCGCAAGCCUGAUACAGCCAUGCCGCGUGUGUGAAGAAGGCCUUAGGGUUGUUAAGCACUUUCAGCGGGGAGGCGUUACCCGCAGAAGAAGCACCGGCUAACUCCGUGCCAGCAGCCGCGGUAAUUC